GCUUGUGUCUCUGCUGACUCUUAGGCAAGGAAUGGUCAAGGCAGGUGCAGGGGACUCUGCGACUUGGUGUAAUCGUGCCAAAAGAAUCGACAGCAACAGAAUGCUUUUAUUACUUUUAUAUAAUCUUCUCUGGGGAGCUAAGAGCACGCCAUUUCUUUCUCACGACAUCCUUAGGGUGGGAAUGCAAGAGAAUUUUACACCACGUGGGAAUGGCGGUACAGGACUGCGAUCUGACGUCCUUGAAGGUGCCUCACCAAACUGAUGGUUCCUAGACCUAAAUAAAAAGAGAAUAGAGAAACGGAUGACCCAUCCAGCACCGUGGCAAAUUCAGAUGGCCCCAAAAGAGUGGAGAGGAGUAUGAGAAAAGGCCCUCUCUCUAUUUCAUUUGUUGCCCGCACCCCACUAAGGAAACAGUACGAAGAGAAUACGCCGGGAGAGCACAGCGGACGAGAAGCAACCGGGAAGAAGGGAAGGGGGCUGACGGGGUGUAUGGACUGUGCCCUCUGGUGUGAUCUCGGCACGAAUUCGAGACAGAGACAUCCGUGGGCACUGCCAGCGGGUCUCCCAGCCUGGGCUUCACAGCGCCGUGGGUAUUCGUAGCCCAGUCAGGAUCUCAGCCCUUCCUCCUAAACUUUAGCAUCCUGAAAUUCAGGUUUGCUUGUGUUGCCAGGUUUGGGUCAGGCUCUGCAGUGGCUGGCUAACCAUAUUUAUGAAAAUGACUCCCGUAAAAACUGGAAUGCUGGGUUAAUAGUCUCCUAACAAAUGAACCAAAAUACCUGUGCCUACGGAUCAACGCAUUUCUUUCUUCCGCAUACAAGUGUUCGUGGUUUCCUAGAGACUGUUCUUGGAGAUGCAGCUGGGAGGGAACGAGCAGCGUUUGGCAGAUCUCCUGUGACCCCAUCGAGAGCUCUGCAGUGAGAAGGACCCUUUGAGAUACUCUAAAGCGAGGCAACCGAGCUGGGCCUUGGAAUCUCCGUGUCCGUGGGUUGCUCGGUCUUUGGGUAUGGACGCCCUGCUGGGAGGGCCUGGAGCCUUGGCUGAGCCCCAUAGCCCCGGGCUGUGCACGGGGGUGGGGGGGGUGGGCUGUAGCUGUGCGCCCCCUAUUUCCAGCAGAUGGGCGACAGGUGCCUUGGCCCUGAAGAGAGUUUCUGGGUAGAGCACCACAGCACUCACUACAAACACAUUGCUUGUAAGAUACAUCCUGAAUUCAGAAACGUGAAAUGUGAAGAAAGUGCACCUUUGCAGGGUAGAAAUACGGUAUAAGGAUUCAGUAGUGUUUGUUUGUUUUGGUAUGGAGGAGCAAGCUGGACUUGUGGAAGAAUUCUAGUAGAGAAUUGGAACUCCAGAGGGUCUCAGGGACUGUUUUCCACUAUCUGUCAUUCACGGGUCUUUUUGCAAAUCUAUUUUACUCUUCCUUCUUGACAUCACAGAUUUCUUUGCUAAACAGUUUAGCCACGCCCCUGUAGGACGUGGAUGAUGGCCCGUACUGUGCUGGUGAAUGCUUCAAAAUUGUCUCUCUGGAGGAAAAGAAGUGUGCACAUGUAUUCAUGUAAUUUUUACUGAUCUAGGGGAUGCGGAGGACACAAUUUUAGGUAAUGAUGAGCUAUACAGCACUCUUAUUGUAAAGCCCAUAUAGCCCGUUGAAUCUCACCGAAUGCUUUCAUUGAUUUCUGUAGAACUCUUGUCUCCCCAGCCAGUCUGUGGGUAUAAAGGAUGAACGAGUCUAGCUCUGACAUGAAUGCUGGUUGAUAUUUUAUUUGUUUAUUUUUAAAUAUUUUAAUGCUUUUUUGUUGUUGUUUGUUUGUUUUUUGUUUCUGAGUGACAGAGGACAGAGCAUGAGCAGGGGAGGGGCAGAGAGAGAGGGAGACACAGAACCCGAAGCAGGCCCCAGGCUCUGAGCUGUCAACACAGAGCCCGAUGCGGGGCUCGAACCCACAAACCGUGAGAUCAUGACCUGGGCCAAAGUUGGAUGCGCAACCAACUGAGCCACCCAGGCACCCCUAGAUUAAGUAGCUUUUUAAAAAGUUACAUUCUAUCCGUUAGGACAGCAACAAAAAACCCCAGGUCAUUCUGAUUACUUUGGUAUUUCUUCCACACUUCAGAAAUGACAAAUAAUCUUUUUUUUGGAAGAGUUAUUCCACCAGAGCAAUAGUCUCAUCCAUCUUAUGUUGGUUUUGACUAUCUCUUCCCAUAGACAAUGACCAGUGUUUCCUUUCUUCCUUUUCUAAGUUUUAUUUUAUUUAUUUUUUUAGUAAUACCUACACACAACACAGGGCUUGAAUUCACGACCUCGAGAUCGCAGUGCAGAGCUCACAGAAGACACUUAUGAAGAUUUAUGAAGAUUUACACAAUUAUGAAGAUUUACACAAAUGUUUUUUUGUCCAGUCCUUUGCUUUCUUUUAAUGGCAUUAUUUACCAUUUAUCAUACGUAAUUUCUAAAGUAGAUACGCUAGAAAAACGUGUAAUGAAUGUCAAUAAUUAAAAUAUGACUGCUCUCUGGAUAUUUUCUCCACAUUAUGGAAUUUGUGUCAAAUUAUGGCAUGAAGAAGAAAAGAAGAAUCACCAGAGGUUACUCUUGACUCAUAACAACCUGACAUUUUGAUAUGUUUCCUUCCAGUCAUUUUUUUCUAGGUUUAUAUGCUUUUCUAUCCAAAAAGAGACCAUAUGCUAUAUUUCUAGUUUUAUUAGUUUACUUUUUUUUUUUUUUUACAAAGCAUUGUAUCACAAGCAUUCUCAUAUAAAUGAAUGUUUUGUGAAACCUGGUUUUUAAUGUUCCAUAUUAUUGCAUUGUAUGUGUGAACUACAACUUAUUUAACCAUUCCCCUGUUUAAGAUAUUUGGGUUGCUUCUAAUAUGUCACUUUUUAAAUAACUGCCGUUAUGGAACGGGAUGCAUGUUCUGAAAAUGGACAUGUUCUCCCUUAGAGUCUUUUUUUCCCUUCCUAUUGAAAGUCUUACUUGUCAGGUUUUUAAUUUUUUUUUCAUGUUUAUUUAUUUAUUGUUGAGAGAAAGAGAGACAGAGCAUUAGCAGGGGAGGGGCAGAGAGAGAGGGAGACACAGAAUCUGAAGCAGGCUGUAGGCUCUGAGCUGUCAGCACAGAGCCCCCCGUGGGGCUGGAACCUACAAGCUGUGCGAUCAUGACCUGAGCCAAAGUCAGACACUUAACUGACUGAGCCAACAGGGCGCCCCAAAAAGCUUACUUGUCAGUUUGCUUGUUCAAGUACACAUCUCUCACUGUUCCUUCUCAAGCUUUUAUCAGGAUGUAGUGCACAUGUUUACAGAAACAUCGAAAUCAGUGAAAGUCUGAAAUGUAAAAGCCUGUUUAUGGUAGCUAGUUUUUUCUCUGGUUUAACACUUAACUGUCUCCUAUUGGCCAGCUAACCCUUUGCUGUCAACUUCCGUUACUGUUACGGUCAUCUCUGUCCUUCAUUCAGAUUUUUGUAUAAUAAUCCCUAAAACAGGAAAGUGCUAACAAAUUAUUUGCUUAGUGAAUUAAAAGUGACUCAGGAAAUAGAUAUCCAUAUAAGAGUGUUGUCAUGUUUAUUAGUUCAAGGACCCUUUUUCUGUAAAAUAUUUUAAGCUUUUAAAAGCCCUAAAAAUUAGCAAAGCCUCUUAGGUCAGAGAGUCAGUUAACUUCCUAUUGUCGAUCUAUUUCUGGUAAAACCAACAUACACAUGUAUACAAAACUUUGUAAACUGAUUGAACAAUUCUCUACCAACUUUUUUUUGAUAAAUCAUCUUACCUAGUAUCGAUUGAUGGGACUGAAUGAUAUUUCUUUCCUUUUUGAGUAGGAAAAACUAACAUGUCAAAUAUUUUCAGUUAUGACUUAACUAGAAUUUCAAAAACAACUUCAAUGGCAUAGAACCAAAGAUAAAUGCUUUGUAAACAAUUCUUAGGGUCUUUUUAAAUUAAAACCUUAUGGGUGCCUGGGUGGCGAAGUCGGUUAAGCAUCCAACUUUGGUUCAGGUCUCAAAAAUAAAAAUAAAACAUCAAAAAAUUAUAAACAUAAAAUUAAACUCUUAGAUAUAAUUUUUUUCCACAAUUUAAUUUUUCUUCUUGGGUUGGACUUAAAAAACACGCAACUAUUUCUUAUUACAUCUCCAAUCAUAUCACUGAAAAUCUUGAUUGCUGAACACAUGACCAUAAAAAUGAUCUGAGUUAGCUUAGGGUAAAUGUUCAAUUAUGACCAAGGUACGUAAGCAAUCUAGAACUGAGGAAGAAGAGACAUUUACUUCCAAAACGACUUAAAUGGAUGUAGUUGCUUAACUUUACAGGAAAUUUAACGGGCUGGCAAUGAACCCUGCCCCUUUAUUCUGUACUUAUGAGCUAAUUGUAUUGUUCAGGUUUUUCCCACUCUAGUGCAUUCAUAUUGGUGAGCAGGUAACUUGGAACUCUGAUGUGAACUUCUGGUAUAAUGAGUGAGAUCUGGCCCUAGUUAACUUAAUUGAAGUGUUCUACGAGGAGGCUUUUGCACCUGAACUAGCAGGUACAAGCAGGUGUGAUAACUUCUCAUUAAAAAUGCGCCACGACUCCGGUUUCAGCCCGCUUUCAAUUCUAUCUACUAGCAUAAAAGGCAGGCGCGCUUCCGGAGGGCGCCGCCAGGGGGUGCAAAUCCAAGCGGCUUCGUCAACAACAGGGGCCCUGGAGCGCUUCCUUCCGUCCUCUCGCUCACCUCAGCUUCCGCCGGAAGCGGUUCCUGUCAGUCGUCCUCCGGCGUUUGAGCUUGUUUGUGUUGGUUCGCGGCGCCUGGCCGAGUGAGGCUCGGACGGAGGAGCUGGAGAGGGAAGCUCGA
rnacentral:lncRNA from 1 species